rnacentral:tRNA from 1 species
AUUAUUAUAGUUUAAAAAAAAUUCAGGUUUGUGGUACCUGAGAUGUAGGCUUUACUAAUAAUC